GGUCUGCAUUAACAAAUAGAACUUCCGCCAUUCGAGUGAGAAGGAGAAAGAAGAACGCUGUAAAGAAUAGGAGCAUAUUGAAUUUUUUUCCUGGCAGAAGAAUAUUUUUCACUUCUUGAAAAAAUGAAGACUUUUCAAUUUUACAACGACUUGAAAGAAUAUCUUUUACGGGAAGAAUUUAGCAACAAUUUAACGGUCAGAGAGCGAAGUGAAAUACGACGUGUGUCCGUGAAUUUUAUGAUUAAAGUCCAUCAUCCAUGCACUGGCUGCUCUACAGGGUGUAUCAGGACAGGAGGCAGAAGACUUAUUUCUUGGUGGCCCAGAAUACAGUAUCAGUGAAGUGGAAGAAUUUAACCGAAAGAUAGGGCAGCAAUUAAAGAAGAAGGGAAUGCUGCGAUAUCUGUUGGAAUAGAAGAUGAUGCUACUGCCCAGUGCUUCCAGAAUCCUUCAUUUGAGUCUUGGGUCUGAAUCUACUGCGUCACUGCCAAGUAUUCUGGGGUAAUGUGUCUUGUUUUGUUUACAUUUUGUUUUUCUUCAUAUUCCAAGCUCAUUUACUUGACCUUAGCUUUAAUAAACUGGAUAGCUGUCUCCUUCACAAUUGAUUUUAAAGUACUAUACUAUUCAUUACAUAAAGAGCUCUGAACAAUUUAGUCCCUUGCUGUAUUUGGUACUGUCUCUC